CCUGGGAUGUAGCCCAAUGGUAGAGUGCUUUGCCUAGUGUGCACAAGGCCCUGGGUUCAAUCCCCAAUACUAUGA
rnacentral:tRNA from 1 species